GACGAACGCUGGCGGCGUGCUUAACACAUGCAAGUCAGGGGGUGGGGCAACCCAUCACCGGCGAACGGGUGCGUAACACGUGAGCGACCUGCCUUCGAGUGGGGGAUAGCCGGCCCAACGGCCGGGUAAUACCGCAUACGACUGUUGAGAGGCAUCUCUCGGCAGUGAAGCCUUCAGGGCUCGGAGAGGGGCUCGCGGCCUAUCAGCUAGUUGGCGGGGUAACGGCCCACCAAGGCGGGACGGGUAGCUGGUCUGAGAGGGUGACCGGCCACACUGGGACUGAGACACGGCCCAGACUCCUACGGGAGGCAGCAGGUGGGGAAUAUUGCGCAAUGGGCGAAAGCCUGACGCAGCGACGCCGCGUGAGGGAUGACGGCC
rnacentral:rRNA from 1 species